AUCUAAGCACGAACUUGCCCCGAGAUGAGUUCUCCCUGACCCUUUAAGGGUCCUGAAGGAACGUUGAAGACGACGACGUUGAUAGGCCGGGUGUGUAAGCGCAGCGAUGCGUUGAGCUAACCGGUACUAAUGAACCGUGAGGCUUAACCUUACAACGCCGAAG
rnacentral:rRNA from 1 species